rnacentral:tRNA from 3 species
GCCGGGGUAGCUCAGCCUGGUUAGAGUGCCAGUCUUCUAAUCUGGAGGUCGUGGGUUCAAAACCCACCCCCGGCA